rnacentral:rRNA from 1 species
UACGUAGGCAGCAAGCGUUGUUCGGAAUUACUGGGCGUAAAGAGUGUGUAGGCGGUGCUCUAAGUUCGGUGUGAAAUCUCCUGGCUUAACUGGGAGGGUGCGCCGAAAACUGGAGUGCUAGAGGGUGGGAGAGGAAAGCGGAAUUCCUGGUGUAGCGGUGAAAUGCGUAGAUAUCAGGAGGAACACCUGCGGUGUAGACAGCUUUCUGGACCACUUCUGACGCUGAGACACGAAAGCGUGGGUAGCAAACAGG